rnacentral:rRNA from 1 species
CCCUUAGAUGUUCUGGGCCGCACGCGCGCUACACUGAUGCAUUCAACGAGCCUAUCCUUGACCGACAGGUCCGGGUAAUCUUUGAAACUGCAUCGUGAUGGGGCUAGAUUAUUGCAAUUAUUAAUCUUCAACGAGGAAUGCCUAGUAAGCGUGAUUCAUCAAAUCGCGUUGAUUACGUCCCUGCCCUUUGUACACACCGCCCGUCGCUCCUACCGAUUGAGUGUGUUGGUGAGGAGUUUGGAUUGGCCUCGGAAGGUGGUUCGCCACCGUCCGUAGCUGAGAAGUUCUCCAAACCGCCCCACUUAGAGGAAGGAGAAGUCGUAACA